CUUCUCUCAUUUAUUCACAAAACGUUUAUUAAGCACCUACUGUGACAAACUGCUAGAAGACAAGAAUUAAUAAAACAUAGUUCUUGCCCUCAUAAGAGCUCACAGGCUGCAUGGGACAGACAGAUUAAAAAUAUAUAGAAAUGUGUUAAGAGGUAUAGUAGAGGUAAGUGCAGGUUAUUACGAGAAGCCCAGAGGAGACUAUUGGCUCGCUCUACAGGGGAGUAAGGGAAAGCAUCCCAGAGAAGACAUUUCAAAUUGAACCUUUUUAUUUAAAAAGGUGGCAUUUCCAGCAGGAGGAAUGACAUAUGAAAAUAUUUUACAUAAAAGGACAAUCCCUUUUAUUUCUUUAACUCUGACAUAUCUAGCUUCUCUUUCCUUGUCUUCUUUCUUCUCUUCUCUUUUUAUUUUUACUUAUUUUUUAUUUUCUCUUCUGGACAGGGGCAUACAGUGGUACUUCUGGUGUUUGUCAAGGUAUCAUUAUGGUUCACUUCUUAAAAAUCCAAGAAUCCUUUGGGCAUUAUCUGGGACUUAGAAAAAGAAGGUAAAAAGAAGGUCUGGAUCACAGCCCCAGUCUUGCUGAAACAAAGGUGUUCAAGUUCCAGAGCAUCUCAGGUUUUGUGAGCUGAACUGCCAAGGGAAAUCUUGAUUGCACACCUAAUUGUGGAGCAGAAAUCAAAUGGACCCAUGUGAGAUUCUCUUGUUGCUGCAGAUCUCCAAGUAAUUACGAAAG